rnacentral:rRNA from 2 species
UACAACUUGUACAGGAUAGGUAGGAGCCGUAGAAGUCGGAACGCUAGUUUCGAUGGAGGCAUUGGUGGGAUACUACCCUCGUUGUAUGAACACUCUAACCCUCGCCGGCAAUCACGGCGGGGGACAGUGUCAGGGGGGCAGUUUGACUGGGGCGGUCGCCUCCUAAAAGGGAACGGAGGCGCCCAAAGGUUCCUUCAGAAUGGUUGGAAAUCAUUCGCAGAGGGUAAAGGCAUAAAGGAGCUUGACUGCGAGACCUACAAGUCGAGCAGGGACGAAAGUCGGGCUUAGUGAUCCGGGGGUUCCGUAUGGAAGGGCCAUCGCUCAACGGAUAAAAGCUACCCUGGGGAUAACAGGCUUAUCUCCCCCAAGAGUUCACAUCGACGGGGAGGUUUGG